AGGUAAUGUAUAUUUAUAAAAUUUAUCCACAAUAAAGAUGAAGUCCAGACAUUGGGUCUAACCAUCGAAGGACAAAAACUUUCUAGGACACUUGAAUAUGCUGGUGAAUGUGUGAAAGAUUCAAGGACAUGAAAAGUAAACAAAUGUAAUGGAACAUUUUUGCCACACUGUUCAACUGGGAACUAACGGAUGUGCCUGAUAACCUACAACAACGAAAUUAUUCAGCUGCAAAGCGAUGAUGAGCCGAAUGCUAGGAACAACUUACUUCUGUGAGCAGUUCUUUUUAAAACUUACCAUUGCAAAUAGUCAACUACAUUCCAGACAGACUGAUGCAAACCUGAAAAAGCAGUUGCAAGUAGCAACAUCAUCAAUACCAGCUAACAUCACACACCUCACCUAAGAGAAGCAGUUCCAGCCAUCACAUUAGGGGAGGUGGUAUGGUAUAGUC